rnacentral:lncRNA from 1 species
CCUGCACUUUGAACACUGUACAACACGUGAGAGGAUAAAAGAUUAUUAACAGUAGCAGUUUCCAUUUAUUGAGAGCUUACUAUGGAGUAGGCACUGAACACUCACGAUAAUUCUAUGAAGUAUUAUUAUUAACCCCAUCUAUCAGUUGAAGAAAAAUGAGACCCAGAAAGGUUAAGCAAGUCAUUUAAAGUCACAGAACAAACAAGGUUCCUGGAUUUUCCUAUGCACCUGUAUCUGUGUGGACCCAAAGCCCCGGCACUUCACAAUGAACUCCAGCGUCCUCUAGAAAUCUAGGAACCGAAGGACUUCUUGACAAACUGCUCUACGACAGUAACGAGGCCUUAGAGCUGCAGCCAGACUGACUUCGAGUUUCGGCCGCAUCCUUUUCUGUGACCCUCAGCAGGUUCCUUCACUCUUUUGAGCCUCAGUUUCCCCAAUUGUAUAACGAGGGUAAAAAACCACGCCUUUCUCUCAGGGUUAUUGUGGGUAUUCAUUGAGAAGACGUGUGUGGAGCCCGGUGUCCGGCACCCAGUGAGAGCCUGGAACAAUCAUUAGGAUGUCUGAGUCCUUAUCACUCGUGCGCAGCACAACACGACCGUGGGCACAGGGUUGAAGGCGGUUCCCUACGCCUAGCCUCUCGAUAGGAACCUUCAGGGACGGGUGGACUUAAAGGAGCCGGUGGCCUUAAGAGUCCAGUCGAUGCUGCCACGUGAUGGGCCUGGGGGAAAGCCCCGAUCCCAAGCGCCAACAGAGCAGCCGACCUCAGCCAACCUCAACCAACACGUAGGCGAGGAUGCCCAGGGUGAGCGCCAGCGGCGAGAAGACGCGCUAUCGCGAGAUCGGUGGGACCUACGCGUUUACAGGCCGGAAGUGAGGGGCGGGCCUAAGGGGGCGCGCUCCUUUUGAAACCUGAGACGGAGACCUGCGGAGGGCGAGGGCUGGUUGGAGGUCGCUGUCCUUUCUGGGAACCAAGCAGGGGUCGCAGGAGGGCGGGGAUGGGUCAGCGGGGAUCUCUGAGUGGGGUUCGGCUGAGAGAGGCCACAGUUUCAUCUUUGGGAAGCUACCCUGGGCCGGCCACGCGCCGUGAGCCGGACUGGCGACGCCCCCCUGCCUCCACCGUGCUCCUUCACCCGAGAAAUUCAGCUCAGCCCCAGCCUCUCGGCAACCUCCCUUUGGCUCCGCCUUUUAAAGGACCUUUACGCACCUACAAGAGGACCAACAUUCUCCAGGAAAUUCUGUCCUUUAAAACCAUGAGAUGAAUAAUCUUGGUCUGGAAGAUAUUCAUAGAAAGAAGCUUAGAAUGUUUGAUUUUUGAGCAUGAAUUAACUGUACAGUCAUCAAUUAAAUAAGCUGAUCCACUGAGUAAUUGUUGAGAUGAUCCUUCUGGAUGCUGAAUAAUGCUAGCCUAGAAUGGGGAUUUGACAUUGAUAUAUUCUUUCCUAUUAACAAAUCCAGUUUUCUUUCUUCCUCCCAUCCUCCCUCCUUCUUUCUUUCUUCCUUUCUUUUCCUUUCAUUUGCCUUCCUUUCCUUCCUUCCCUUCC